ACACUUACCGGGCAGGGGAGAUGCCAUGAUCACGAAGGUGGCUUUCCCAGGGUGAGACUGAUCCGCUGUUCUCCAGAUGUGCUGACCCCCACGAUUUCCCCAAAUGUGGGCAAUUCGACUGCAUAGUGGGGUAGCGGGGGACUGAAUUUGUGCUCUCCCCUG